GGUUAAGCGACUAAGCGUACACGGUGGAUGCCCUGGCAGUCAGAGGCGAUGAAGGACGUGCUAAUCUGCGAUAAGCGUCGGUAAGGUGAUAUGAACCGUUAUAACCGGCGAUUUCCGAAUGGGGAAACCCAGUGUGUUUCGACACACUAUCAUUAACUGAAUCCAUAGGUUAAUGAGGCGAACCGGGGGAACUGAAACAUCUAAGUACCCCGAGGAAAAGAAAUCAACCGAGAUUCCCCCAGUAGCGGCGAGCGAACGGGGAGGAGCCCAGAGCCUGAAUCAGUGUGUGUGUUAGUGGAAGCGUCUGGAAAGGCGCGCGAUACAGGGUGACAGCCCCGUACACAAAAAUGCACAUACUGUGAGCUCGAUGAGUAGGGCGGGACACGUGGUAUCCUGUCUGAAUAUGGGGGGACCAUCCUCCAAGGCUAAAUACUCCUGACUGACCGAUAGUGAACCAGUACCGUGAGGGAAAGGCGAAAAGAACCCCGGCGAGGGGAGUGAAAAAGAACCUGAAACCGUGUACGUACAAGCAGUGGGAGCCUCUUUUAUGGGGUGACUGCGUACCUUUUGUAUAAUGGGUCAGCGACUUAUAUUCUGUAGCAAGGUUAACCGAAUAGGGGAGCCGAAGGGAAACCGAGUCUUAACUGGGCGUUAAGUUGCAGGGUAUAGACCCGAAACCCGGUGAUCUAGCCAUGGGCAGGUUGAAGGUUGGGUAACACUAACUGGAGGACCGAACCGACUAAUGUUGAAAAAUUAGCGGAUGACUUGUGGCUGGGGGUGAAAGGCCAAUCAAACCGGGAGAUAGCUGGUUCUCCCCGAAAGCUAUUUAGGUAGCGCCUCGUGAAUUCAUCUCCGGGGGUAGAGCACUGUUUCGGCAAGGGGGUCAUCCCGACUUACCAACCCGAUGCAAACUGCGAAUACCGGAGAAUGUUAUCACGGGAGACACACGGCGGGUGCUAACGUCCGUCGUGAAGAGGGAAACAACCCAGACCGCCAGCUAAGGUCCCAAAGUCAUGGUUAAGUGGGAAACGAUGUGGGAAGGCCCAGACAGCCAGGAUGUUGGCUUAGAAGCAGCCAUCAUUUAAAGAAAGCGUAAUAGCUCACUGGUCGAGUCGGCCUGCGCGGAAGAUGUAACGGGGCUAAACCAUGCACCGAAGCUGCGGCAGCGACGCUUAUGCGUUGUUGGGUAGGGGAGCGUUCUGUAAGCCUGUGAAGGUGUACUGUGAGGUAUGCUGGAGGUAUCAGAAGUGCGAAUGCUGACAUAAGUAACGAUAAAGCGGGUGAAAAGCCCGCUCGCCGGAAGACCAAGGGUUCCUGUCCAACGUUAAUCGGGGCAGGGUGAGUCGACCCCUAAGGCGAGGCCGAAAGGCGUAGUCGAUGGGAAACAGGUUAAUAUUCCUGUACUUGGUGUUACUGCGAAGGGGGGACGGAGAAGGCUAUGUUGGCCGGGCGACGGUUGUCCCGGUUUAAGCGUGUAGGCUGGUUUUCCAGGCAAAUCCGGAAAAUCAAGGCUGAGGCGUGAUGACGAGGCACUACGGUGCUGAAGC
rnacentral:rRNA from 1 species